rnacentral:rRNA from 1 species
AAGACCUUGCACUUUUGGAGCGGCCGAUGUCUGAUUAGCUAGUUGGUGGGGUAAUGGCCUACCAAAGCUUCGAUCAGUAGCUGGUCUGAGAGGACGGCCAGCCACACUGGGACUGAGACACGGCCCAGACUCCUACGGGAGGCAGCAGUGGGGAAUUUUGGACAAUGGGCGCAAGCCUGAUCCAGCCAUGCCGCGUGAGUGAAGAAGGCCUUCGGGUUGUAAAGCUCUUUCAGCCGGGAAGAAAAGGUUGCGAUUAAUAAUCGCAAUUUAUGACGGUACCGGAAGAAGAAGCACCGGCUAACUACGUGCCAGCAGCCGCGGUAAUACGUAGGGUGCGAGCGUUAAUCGGAAUUACUGGGCGUAAAGGGUGCGCAAGCGGUUUUGUAAGUCAGAUGUGAAAUCCCCGGGCUUAACCUGGGAACU